ACGGGUGAGUAACACGUAUCCAACCUGCCGUCUACUCUUGGCCAGCCUUCUGAAAGGAAGAUUAAUCCAGGAUGGCAUCAUGAGUCCGCAUGUUCACAUGAUUAAAGGUAUUCCGGUAGACGAUGGGGAUGCGUUCCAUUAGAUAGUAGGCGGGGUAACGGCCCACCUAGUCUUCGAUGGAUAGGGGUUCUGAGAGGAAGGUCCCCCACAUUGGAACUGAGACACGGUCCAA
rnacentral:rRNA from 1 species